rnacentral:rRNA from 1 species
GCUUAUACAGGUGCUGCAUGGCUGUCGUCAGCUCGUGCCGUGAGGUGUCCGGUUAAGUCCGGUAACGAGCGCAACCCCCACUGUAUGUUACAAGUGUCAUACGGAACUGCCGGUAUCAAGCCGGAGGAAGGUGGGGAUGACGUCAAGUCAGCAUGGCCUUUAUAUCCGGGGCUACACACACGCUACAAUGGCCAGUACAAUGGGUUUGCAAGACCGCGAGGUGGAGCCAAUCCUCAAAGCUGGUCUCAGUUCAGAUUGUAGGCUGCAACCCGCCUACAUGAAGUCGGAGUUGCUAGUAACCGCAGGCCAGCCAUACUGCGGUGAAUACGUUCUCGGGGAUU